GUACCGUGAGGGAAAGGUGAAAAGUACCCCGGAAGGGGAGUGAAAGAGAACUUGAAACCGUGUGCUUACAAGUAGUCAGAGCCCGUUAAUGGGUGAUGGCGUGCCUUUUGUAGAAUGAACCGGCGAGUUACGAUCUGAUGCAAGGUUAAGCAGAAAAUGUGGAGCCGUAGCGAAAGCGAGUCUGAAUAGGGCGUGUAGUAUUUGGUCGUAGACCCGAAACCAGGUGAUCUACCCAUGGUCAGGUUGAAGUUCAGGUAACACUGAAUGGAGGACCGAACCGACUUACGUUGAAAAGUGAGCGGAUGAACUGUGGGUAGCGGAGAAAUUCCAAUCGAACUUGGAGAUAGCUGGUUCUCUCCGAAAUAGCUUUAGGGCUAGCCUCAAGUGAUGAUUAUUGGAGGUAGAGCACUGUUUGGACGAGGGGCCCCUCUCGGGUUACCGAAUUCAGACAAACUCCGAAUGCCAAUUAAUUUAACUUGGGAGUCAGAACAUGGGUGAUAAGGUCCGUGUUCGAAAGGGAAACAGCCCAGACCACCAGCUAAGGUCCCAAAAUAUAUGUUAAGUGGAAAAGGAUGUGGCGUUGCCCAGACAACUAGGAUGUUGGCUUAGAAGCAGCCAUCAUUUAAAGAGUGCGUAAUAGCUCAC
rnacentral:rRNA from 1 species